rnacentral:tRNA from 1 species
GAGGGUAUAGCUCAAUGGUAGAGUGCAUGCCUAGUAUGUAUGAGGUCCUGGGUUCAAUCCUCAGUACCCCCA